rnacentral:lncRNA from 1 species
CGCAGUGGCCAGGCGUUCCUCCAGAACCUCCUCCCCCAGGAGCUUGCUACAAGUGCCAGAAAUCUGGCCACCAGGCCAAGGAAUGCCUGCAGCCCAGGAUUCCUCCUAAGCCAUGUCCCAUCUGUGUGGGACCCCACUGGAAAUCGGACUGUCCAACUCACCUGGCAGCCACUCCCAGAGCCCCUGGAACUCUGGCCCAAGGCUCUCUGACUGACUCCUUCCCAUAUCUUCUCGGCUUAGUGGCUGAAGACUGACACUGCCUGAUCGCCUCAGAAGCCCCCUAGACCAUCACGGAAGCCGAGCUUCACGUAACUCUCACAGUGGGAAGAGCAAAGGACACCAGUUUGCAGCAUGAGGGAAAUGCCACAGAUGUGACAAAAGAAGUAGAGAGGAGAGACAGAACUCCUGCAGUGCUCCAGAAUGCCUGUUUCUCCUGGGGCCUCUUCCUUGACUCUCAAGAGUUUCCACAGUACCCUUCCCACAAAGUUCCCUUUUUUGAUUAAAGUACUUUAAGUUGGAU